UUUUAAUCAUUUAUUUUUGAAAAUUUCCUCAAAAUAUCCUUCCAUCCAUCUAAUAUGAUGUAAUAAAAGUAUUCACGACUAAAAAGGAUCAUAAUGUAAUUUUCUGCUUCCCUACCCCUAUCUCUUUCUUGAUUCUGCAACACUCAUGUCCAGGACCAUGUUACGGGCCUUCGUUUCUUAGUCUGACGGACCGCGAACAAUGCUUUCUCCUCUUCCUUUCUCUGUUUUGAUGGUGAUUCUUUAACCAUGAACAAGAAACUAUAGGACUAAAAUCAAACACCCAGUGAGCAUUGCAAUGAUUCACUAAAUCAAUUGUUGUUGUGCUACUAAGGAAAAUAACAAAAAAUAGUUUAAAAGAAUCCAGAACGCGAUUCUGCAUGAAACCGCGAAGAAAGCAUUCACAAGCUGCUGGCGAGGUUCGAGAGCCUUCUGAAACGCGACCGUGUUGGGCUUGAAGGUUGCAGAUCUAGGAAGUGAUGGCCUUCAUGAAGGUUGCAGAUCUGGACGGCUAAGGUUUAAAUAAGAAUAUUUGGUGCAGUUUAUUUCAAUUCAAACAAUAUUUUAGGUGCUGAAUCAUGGAGUAUGUAAAAUGAAAGGUGUUAAUUUACAUGUAUUAUUAGUAUAACUAUUUUGACAUUAAUAAUUAAUUAUAAAAGUUAACCAUCAAUCUCAUGAUAGCAUAUAUUUAUAAUGACAAGCUUACUAUACAUUAUAUUUGUAGUAACAGUAUAUUGUAAUUAUAAAAGUUAUGAAAAAAGGUUUGGUCUAAAAGCUGGAUUCCUAACAGGAUUGGGAUGAUAGAUCCAAGGAAGGUAUAGGGGCGGUCAACAACUAAAGGUGAC
rnacentral:lncRNA from 1 species